rnacentral:rRNA from 1 species
GUGCCAGCAGCUGCGGUUAUACAAAAAAUACAAGUAAAUUUUAUUAAAUCAAGUUAAAUUGAUAAAUAUUUAAUAAUAAGAAAAUUUUUAGGUGAAAUUUUAAUUUUUUUAUUUUUAAAAUUAAAAAAAAUGUUGAGGCUAAGAAAUUUUGUUAAUAAACUAGGAUUAGAUACCCUAUUAUUAAAAAAUGUAUUUUAAAAAAAAAUUAGAGUAGUAAUAGUUAUGGUCUUGAAACUCAAAAAAUUUGGCGGUAUUUUAGUCUAUUCAGAGGAACCUGUGGUGUAAUCGAUAAUCCACGAUGAAUCUUACUUAUUUUUGUUUUUCAAUUUGUAUACCGCCGUUAUUUAAAAAUUUUUUGAAAAUAAUAAUUUUUAUAAUUUUUUAUUAAAUAGAAAGUCAGGUCAAGGUGCAGUUUAUAUUUAAGUAUUUCAUGGGUUACAAUAAAUUUAUUUAUAUGGAUUAAAUUAUGAAAUUAGUUUAUGAAAGUGGAUUUGGGAGUAAAUUUUAAAGAUAAAAAAUGAU